CCAUAUUUUUCAUACUGAAAUUCACAACUACUCUUUUAUAUAAUCACCUCAUAGUAUACAAUGCAAUAUUAUUCUCAGGGGUCUGAUCUAACCCUUAUCCACAUAUAAUCAAGGUCUAACAAAACAGGAUGGGAUCUCAGUCCUCAUCCGGGUCAUACUGGAUAUCCUCUUCAUGGUCAUCUUCUUCUCCAUUAUCUUCAUUCUCAUUUAGUUCUACAUCAUGGUUCUAAAUCAGGGUUCUCCUCUUCAAAUUCCUCCACCUCAGGCUCCUCAUCAGAGUCUUGAAAUGGUUAUUAAAUAACCUUGAGAUCACGUCUCAGCAAGUUCUACCCCCUAAGACCCGAUUAGUAAACUAAUACACCUUAGGGCUGCCUAUGCACAACAUGAGUUAGGGGACUUACCUUGGUCUUAGAUUCCACUUGCAUAUUAGCACAGAUCAAAUAGGCAUCCAAGCAAUUACAUCACUGAUCGAAGUAUUGAUCAAAUCGACCGAGUCGAUUACACGCCAACAAGACCACUCAUGGUCAUUUCCAUUCAAUCAAUCAAUUCACAACAGCAAAUCAAAGUAAUGAUCAAUCGACCUAGUCGAUUUCAUAUCAAUCAGACCAUACAUUCCCCACAAUGGAAUAAUCAGUCGUCGAGCCUACAUGGAUACUUCAGGAUGACAUCCCAAGUCCCCGAGUUCACGUGCUCCUUUUCCAAGACGACAUACUUACUCACUAGGCCCACGUGCAUUCUCUUAGGCGACCCUUUUUGCCAAGGUGAUGCAUCGAUUCACCGAGCCACGUGCCCUUUUUACAAUGCCCUAGCCCACGUGCCUUCUCUUAGGUGCUAACUCACCAAAGUGAUGCAUCAAUUCACUGAGCCCACGUGCCCAUUUUACGAUGCCAACUCUGUCACCGAGCCACGUGCAUUCUCUAGGAGAACAUACCGAGUCUUCGAGCCAUGUGCAUUCUCUAAGGUUACAUUUUCGCCAAGGUGACAUAUCCAAUCACCGAGCCACGUGUCCUUCCCCAGUGACACUCCAGUUCAUUGGGCCAUGUACAUUCUCUAGGUGAUUUACCAACUCACUUUCGAUACUGAUAACCGAUACCCGACCAAUCCUCAAUCACAUAGCCAAAAUUGAAUUAUUUAAGAACAUAACUUCAAAAUGCCCCAUUAAAUCAAUUCGACAUGAAUUAAAGCUCAAAUAAAUCAACGGACUACUCCACGACAAUCAACAAGAAAUUGCGGUCACCGGCCAUCCUGGUUGAAUUUCCGGAAAAUAAAUAAUUAAAUAAUUAAUUUCGAAAAUUAAAUAAAUAAACACAAUAAUUCCAAUUUGGCACAACGUAAAGCUCAAUUAAAUAAAUGGACUAUGCCAUGAUCAUCAGCAUAAAAUCCCGAUCACCGGCCAUCCUAGUUGAAUUUCUGGAAUAUAAAUAAUUAAAUAAUUAAUUUCAAAAAUUAAUAUUUAAUUCCUAAAAAUUCCAAUUAGGCCCGAAUUGCCUAAUUAACACCUUAACAACUGAUAAGGGUCAGGAAAAUCCUAAGAAGCAUCCAAUAAGUACUAUAGGUAAUUCUCUAUCUAAAGUACACUAACCAAACAACUAAUAUGCAAUGAAAUUAAUUAAUAAUCGCUAAUCCAUUAUAAUUUAACCACCUAAUUACUCUUAAUUAAAUCUAAUCAACCUUUUUAAGUAUAAUUAGCAAACUAAGAAGGCAUUAGUGAGCAAAACUCACUUGGCAAAGCGAAGAUCGGAACACUCCGACGGCGACGCGACGAUAGCUAAAUCCCAAAAUUUCGGUAGUGACGAUAGACACUCGGGCCGGGCCAAGAAACUUUGCAAGCCCGCAGAAAUUCUAGGCUUGGGCCGAACACUAAAAGAAUCUGUUGGACUGGGCUUGAAACAAACUGAACUGGGCCAAGCUUCAAGUGGCGGGCUGAACUUGCGACAAAAUUUAUGGGCUUCUGCAGGGCCUGAAUUCAAGUGGGCCUCAAGCUUGCAAUGGAAUUGGGCCGAAGACAUGGGCCCAACUGUUGGGCCAAACUAUGGACUGGAAAUUCACGACUGAUCGUGCUCACGGGCUGGGCUGCUGAGCUGAGAAGAAGCAGCAAAAGCUGCUGUUGGGCCAAGACACCAAGGAGCGAAGAUGGGCCGAGCAAGAAGACGUGCAGGAGCUGCUGGCGUCGCUCGAGCGUGGAGAAGACCACGCGUGGAGAUGAGAGCUCGAUGGUCUUCGGUGGCCGCUUAAACUAUGCACGUGGAUGGCUGAAGCUCGAGUGGGCUUCGCUGGCUUGCGGGGUCAACCAAAUGGCACCGAUUGAAGACGUCCGGGGGACCGAACUAGGGGCAGGCGCGGUCAAGUGGCAGCAAGCGGACUGGAUUUCUUCGGUUGACUCGCUGGACUGAAGACGUGACCACGGAUUUGCUGCUGGACGCGCGGAGCCGCGUGGAUGAAGACUUCGUGGAGAUGGGAUCGAUGGAGCUGCAGCGAGGUGCACGGAGAAGCUUCGGUGGGGGAUUUGCGAGCAACGGGUCAACAAACGGCAGGCAAAGCAAAAUCGGUUCUGCUGGUUUGACUGGGAAAUAAAACAAAUGAUGGAGGGUGUGGCUUCGAUGGGAUGAAGAACUGGUGACUACAAGAACAGGUGGAGCAGAAAUUGAAGAUGGUGGGGCGGCACAGCUCCAGUCAAGUUGACCAAACGGGGAGGAAGCUCAGACGCGUGGGGCCAAAAAAGGAUGGGGAUUCGGUUUGUGGGCUUCUUCGGCUAAGAAAGAGAGUGAGUGGAGGAGAGAUGAUGAUGGAAUUGCUUCGUUGAUGCUGAAAGGAUGGGGCAGCUGCGGCUUCGAAAGGAAAGAAUGAAAAC
rnacentral:lncRNA from 1 species